UGGAAACAAGAAAAGUACCGUGAAGUACCUAAAGAGAAGUACCAUGAAGUACCAAUUUGGUGGGACCAAGUACCAAAAAUAGUGAGAAAUUACUGUGAUACCCUUUUAGUUAUGUGUAAAUCUAUUUAAUUCUUUUUUAAAGUAAAAUAAGAAUUGAUACUUUAAAACUAUUGUAACAAAGCUCAACAAAAAUACUUAAUAAAAUGGAUCAUGAGGAAAUUGCUUGACUACAAGGAAUGUUAUUUUAAAUGAUUCAAAAGAGACGAGAUUGGAUAUUCUCUUUUUCCUUGGUUUGCUGACCCUACCAAUUUGCCAACUCCUUUGUUUAGGGAUGACUUCAUCAAUAUAAAUGUAAUUUGUUAACCCUUUAUAUAUGUAUCUGCACUUGGCUCGUAGUACAAAAAUUGCAUCUAAGAGGGGCUCAAAUGUGAAUGUAAAAGUAAAAAGGAUCGACCAUGAAUUACCUAAGUAAUUAACCCUCAACUCACAUAGAGUAAUCUUUUAACUUUAUCUUGGUUUGCGUCUCAUUAAUUAAUCCUUCAUUUUUUUUCCUUUGCAAUGUUCUGUUAUUUUGGAGAGUUGCUCCAGGUCGACAAGCACUAGCUCGUUCAUCAUCCAAAAUUCCAACUCAAC
rnacentral:lncRNA from 1 species